rnacentral:rRNA from 1 species
AUUGAACGCUGGCGGCAUGCCUUACACAUGCAAGUCGAACGGUAACGGGCCUUCGGGUGCCGACGAGUGGCGAACGGGUGAGUAAUACAUCGGAACGUGCCCGAUCGUGGGGGAUAACGAGGCGAAAGCUUUGCUAAUACCGCAUACGAUCUACGGAUGAAAGCAGGGGACCGCAAGGCCUUGCGCGGACGGAGCGGCCGAUGGCAGAUUAGGUAGUGGGUGGGAUAAAAGCUUACCAAGCCGACGAUCGGUAGCUGGUCUGAGAGGAUGAUCAGCCACACUGGGACUGAGACACGGCCCAGACUCCUACGGGAGGCAGCAGUGGGGAAUUUUGGACAAUGGGCGCAAGCCUGAUCCAGCCAUGCCGCGUGCAGGAUGAAGGCCUUCGGGUUGUAAACUGCUUUUGUACGGAACGAAAAGCCUUCUUUUAAUACAGGAGGGUCAUGACGGUACCGUAAGAAUAAGCACCGGCUAACUACGUG